AUCGGAAUCCAUUCAGAAAGUUCCUCUUCUUAGCUAAAGAAAAUUGAAAAAUGAAUAGAAACAGGAAUCACUAAGAGUAAAAUUUUGGAAUACAUUAUUGGAUCUGAUGGUUUCUGAGUUAGUACGUAGAGACGACGCCGUGUUUGAGGUUUUAUGUUCUGUUUUGAAUGGAUUGAUUUAGCAGAUGAAAAAUUCAGAUCUGAUUUUGUCCUGACCAACAUUAACCAAAUGCACAACGAAGAAACCAACAAAAAAUUACCAACUGCAAAUUUCAGAAUCUGAUUCAUACAUUCGCUCCGUGGAUUUGGAGAGUAACCGAAAUCCGGCACCUGUAAAAACAGAAUUUUAGAAUUUCGAAAUUGUAUUCAUACCAACUUUGCUUCUUUUUUCCCUGAUAUUUGCCAUUUACAGACCCCCACAAGUUUUCGUGGGUAAAAAUGAAUUUUAAAUACUAACUUUGAUUCUGUAAAUAAUUUCACAAUUAAUUUCGUAAUUCAAAGAACAAUUUAAAAAAAAAAGGGAGUACUGGUGAGCUGUGAAGCAAUAUUAGUUUUGUUGACACAUAAAAAUUCAGCCCAAAUCAAACAGCCCAAGGAAUAAAGUCCAAUUGGAGGAUCCCCAAAUUAGAUAGCCCAAAAAACGAAAUCCAAUCAAACGAAUCAAGGUAAAGGCCCAAAUAAGGGGCCCAAGAAUACGGUAACGCCUUCUUUUUUCACUCAUUUUUUUCCAACAGGAAAACAAAUUGAUUGGAACAACAUUUGGUUUUCACCUGGUGAUGGCCAUUGUGUUGAUUUUUGGACAUGUUCUGCUGAGGUGAGUCCCCAUCAGCUGCCACCACCACCAUAAUUAUCAAUAUACAAACCUCUUCUUUACUUAUUACUCUCAUUCAAAUUAACUAAUAUUAACGUGUGUAACAUUACAAACGCCAGAUAGGGUGAAAAGGAAAAGCAUUAAAAAAAUUUGGUCAAAAUUUGGUCUAUUUAUCAAAUAUUACCAAUCAGGUUUGAAGAUGCUUCCGGAUUGUUCUCCUUCACCCACUCAUCCACAGUUUCCUUCCAUUUCCUAAACAUCAAGAUGAAAUUAUAAGAAAUGAAGAGGAGAUUUAAUGCUAUAUGAUGAAAUAAAAUAUAAAACUUCAACCGCGUCAGUUAAUCUCGUAUAAAUGCAAAUACCUGACAAGCUCCUUCACCAAUCUGCGCACUUCAUUUGAAGGAUACUUCCGCAAUCCAUUGACAUACCUUCCUAUAUCAGUUUCCUGCUCCAUAUAUUCAAACCCAAAAAUGUAAUAAGAAUAAUGUCAAAAGAUUAAAUAAAUUAGCUGGAAAACUUAUCAUUUCCACCUUCAGCGCUUGGAAAGUAAUAUCCAUAUCUGCCAGAUUUUGCAGCAAUUCCACAACAUAUUCUUCACUCUACAUCCAAAAGAAAAAGAAAAACCAGAAAUGAAAUGUACAACAAACUAAAGCAGACCACAAGAAGCAAAUUUUCAAUAAAACAGAGAAUUCACCUGGUUAGGGUCUUCAAGCUGCUCUUUGAAUCUGAGAAUUUUAGUCUGCUCAUCGUCAAAUAGCCCCCCGUACGGAUCCAAAUCUUCUUCUUCCUCCUCUCCUCCAGUAGAAUUCCGAUUAUUUGACUCAGGAGUCAACGGGCUCUUACUAAAUUCCUCGUUUAUAAUAUCAUUACUAAAAAUGCUAUUUUUUUUGUUAUCGUUAGCAUAAUCGUUGUUAUUAUCGCUAUUGUUAUUAUGAGAAUAAUAGUGAUCUUGAACCUCGUCGUUGAUACUGCUAUUGCAGUUUUGGCAGAGCUGAUUACUGGAAGGGGAAGAAUAGAGCGACUCAACGAUUUUAUCUCUGCGAUGCUUCAAAUCUUCGGCGUAGUCAGAAAUGGCCACUUUGAUCGCCGUGUCAAUCAGCGCCCAAAUCCCCACUCGCGAUCUCGACAAAAUGGCCCGAAGCUCAUCGGAAUCCAUUCAGAAUGUUCCUCUUCUUAGCUAAAGAAAAUUGAAAAAUGAAUAGAAGCAGGAAUCACUAAGAGUAAAAUUUUGGAAUACAUUAUUGGAUCUGAUGGUUUCUGAGCUAGUACGCAGAGACGACGCCGUGUUUGAGGUUUUAUGUUCUGUUUUGAAUGGAUUGAUUUAGCAGAUGAAAAAUUCAGAUCUGAUUUUGUCCUGACCCGAAGACGACAACACAGAGGAUGAAGAUGGAAGGAAGGAGAACGGCUUUUGUUCUUCUUUUAUCUCUUCCAAUUUACAAAAAAGGCCAUAGAAUUAUGAGAUAUUUGCCAUUUACAGACCCCCACAAGUUUUCGUGGGUAAAAAUGAAUUUUAAAUACUAACUUUGAUUCUGUAAAUAAUUUCGUAAUUCAAAGAACAAUUUAAAAAAAAAAAAAAUGGAGUAUUGUUGAGCUGUGAAGCAAUAUUAGUUUGGUUGCUUUGCCCCUGUUUGAUUCUCAUUAAAUUACAUUUCAUUACAUUCUAUUUUUUUCUUUUCUAUUUUCAACCACACAAUUUUUCAUAAAAUAAUAUUACACGUAAAUUGAAAAUUUUUCCUUCUUUUUCAAUCACUAAGGCCCAAAUAAGGGGCCCAAGAAUACGGUAACGCCAUCGCCCAAAUUUGCAAGUCGCCCAGAAUCUGAACGAAUAGAGUGUCAUACGGUCGCCCAGAGCUGUUAUUCUACUCUCGCCCAAACCUUCAAGUCGCCCAAGGUAUCAACAAACAUAACGCAUCGUGGUUAUCAAGAAAUGCAGUUAUCAAGGCAGUUGUUGAAGUAGCCUUAUCACGUUCCACAACUCAAGGAAUUCAAUCGAAAGCGGUUGAACGAUGAAAGAUAAUGGCAGCAGUUAAAAGGCAGUUUCAUGACAAAAUGGCCACUACAAAGAAAGUGGGUAGUUAUAGGACGAUCAAACAGUUUUUAGAGUAGUUAAUCACAAAAAGAUCGUCUAUGAAGUAUAAAAGGGAGAAAGGACGUAGAAGCAAAGGAUCGAAUCAAAAAACUCUCGAACAGAGAAUAUGUAAUUUUCAUUUCCUUAGCUUUUAGACUUAAAUACUUUUCUUUCUGUAACUCGAGUGCUUGCGCCCCUUGAAGGCACGUUGUUUUUCAUUUCCAAUUGUAAAGUUCAUCGCCAAUAAAAGAACACCCCUUUUUGGGACUUUGUCUCAAGAGGUUUGUCCCUUACACAAUCGUCUGAUCCUUUUUAAUUGUUAGCGACUUAACCCGCGCGAAACAAUUUGGCACGCCCGGUGGGACAGUGGUGUUAGGUGUUGAAAGUACAAAAGAUGAAACAAUAUGUCUCAGAGAUCCGACAAGGAAGGAGCAAGUCAGGGAGUAAUCCAGUCUGUAAUCGAGCGAUAUGAGGAGCAGCAUGCCUCUCCACGAACAGAUGGACAAAAUCAGAGCAGUAACAGUCGUUACGAACCAAUGACGGAGUUGAGUCCUCGAACCAUGCGUGCAUUGCUUGGAGAACUCACGCAAGACGUCGUUGAACAGGUAAAUUUUCGAAGUAUUCAUAAUAUGGAAAGAUUUACACAAAAUGGAAAUGCACACUAUGACAAUAUGGCCAAACAGCUAAAGACGUUAAACGAAACAAUGAAUAAGUUAGUAGGCCAAAUAUGUCAACCGGCUAUACCUCUUACAAACCACUUUCAAACCAGGACAAUUGUGGGACAUAAUCCCUCUGUCCUAAAUCCGAAUCAAGGGGUAGAACCGCUUUCUGGUCCCUCUACUUCAAACCAAGGGGGUACUACAGUGCCAAAUCAAAACAAUGGUAGUGGCACGCCUAACUUGGGGGAUAAUCCAAACACGAGAGAUAAUGUCCUAGACAAUGGACAGAAUAUUCCACGUGGUAAUGAGGGAACAGAUGUCCAGGCUAAUGGUAGUGGCCCUAAUUAUGGUAACUUUGUUGCCAAUCAAGGACCAAACAUCAGACCUCGUGCAAAUCAAUCGGUUAAUCAGCCUGUAGGAAUUUCAUAUGAUCCCAAUGUCAUGUUGAGGAGCCAGAUUAUGAAAAUCGUACACGAUCAGAUGGCUUUUGGGGUGCGUCCUGUCAUUAGGCCGACGUACACAAAACCAUAUCCUGAUUGGGUAGACCAAGCAUAUCCAUGGCCUAGAGGGUACAAAGUGCCAGAAUUCUCACUGUUUACCGAUUUAGGAGAGGUGUCUACUCUAGAACACAUAGGGCGAUUCACGUUGCAAAGUGGUGAUGUAACCGAUUACCAUAAAAUGAGACUUUUCCCUAGUUCGUUAAUAGGAGUAGCUUUCUCAUGGUUCAUCAACUUGCCAGCGAACUCUGUUCAAACAUGGCAACAACUGGAAUAAUUGUUUCACGCUCAGUUUUAUAAAACUGAGUCUGAAGUCACUUUGGCUGAUUUGGCGAAUCUAUGUCAAAUGCCAAAUGAAUGGGCGGAAAGUUUUCUCCAAAGGUUCAAAACAGCAAGAAGCAAGUGUUUUGUACCUCUGCCCGAAAAAGAAUUUGUCAAGAUCGCACAAGGCUGUUUGAGCUUUGAUUUAAAAAAGAAGUUCCAGGACAAGGAAUUUCCUGACCUUUUCCAGUUGAGUGCGAAUGUGAUUAGGUAUGAACGACUGAUAAGAGAAGAAGAACAAAUGAAAAAUUCUAGUAAAGGGACUUAUUACAGAGACCCAAAUUUUGACGUUCAUACCAUCGAUGACGAAUCAUACGAUCAAGCCGAAAUGUGUUUGGCCGAAUUGGUAAAAGGGGAUACAUAUACUUGUCCCAUAAUGGCCAAGCCUAGACCAUCGGGCAAAGAUGAGUCCAUAAAGGAUGGAAACAUAAAGGCUAGAACGUUCUCGUUCGAUGUGACCAAAGCUGACCUUAUAUUCGAUAAAUUAUAUAGGGAUAAGCAAAUAAAGCUGAGCGAUAAGCACAAAUUGCCAAACCCUGAACAAAUAAAGGGUAAAAAAAUAUUGUAAGUGGCAUAAUGCAUGGUCACAUUUGACUAACAAUUGCUUGGUUUUCCGUCACGUAUUGCAGGAUGCUAUUGAAUCGGGACGAAUUACGUUCGAUGAUAAGAAAAAGAUGGCAGUGGACGAGAAUCCUUUCCCACAGCCACUUGGGGUAAACAUGGUAACGUCUGGAUUCAAGAACAAGUUGUCAAAAUUCAAGUUGGUCAUAGUUGACGGAGAAGAGGAUACUAAAACACAUCCCAGUGUCUUCGAACGAAUCAAAGGGAAAGAACCAAAAAAGGACGAAAACGUCAUGUGUGCAAGGUGUAAAAGGGAAGUAAAUGGAGACACGGAGAAACCAGGGACAUGGCAGCAUCCUCAUCGCCCUGCCUUCUUCCCAAACAUUCAGCCUGGUAGAGGGCGAGGUACAUCAUUCUAUAGAGGACCGCCUUUUGAAAGGCAGUUCAGACCAGCAGAUACUGGAAGAACAUUUAGGUCGCAACCUCGCCGGCCAAAUGUAUGGCAUUCAUUCCAGUACAGCGCAGGAAGGACAAUACCCUUCGAUGAGAUGACUAGGACCCAACAAAGGCGUUUCCAGCGAAACUAUGGACGGAUGAUGAGGCAGCAACAAGGAAUGCCACAUCCUAAAGCGCCUCUAAUACUCAAGGUAGCCAAUCAAAACGUCCUCAAAGGUAGUAAAGAAACUGAUACAGAUGAAUCAAUGAAGGAACUGCCAGAAACCUCUUCUGGGAGAUCAAGGUUUGAGAGGGACAAAAAGGAUGAAGAAGAUCCAGAUCAGCCCCUUGCUAUCCAAUUCGGUACGUUGCCUCCUGUCAUGGCCAAUAAUUACCUACUGGCCAAUAAAUUCAAGAAUAAGGAAAAGGAAGAAGAGAGGGAGGACAACGAAGGAGAAGCCUGCGUGCUGGUAUGUGAAGAAGGCCAGACUUCUGGAGAGGCCUACAACGAUGAAGAGGACGAUGGGAUGACAGACAUUGAAGAAGAAAUCGACCUAGAAGCAGAAAGGAAAAAGAGAGGAGUAUCGCGCAAUACUUUGUUUAAGCAACUACAUCAAGUGGGAGUCCACGAAGUAGACUUGUUGGGGGAGCCAUCCGGGCGUCCUUUCGAUUUCUACGUACUGUACGGGACACCCAAAAGGAAAAAGAGAGUGCCUCGCUCUGAGAAGUAUGGGUCACCUCCAAAAAUAAUGCCCCUCCCCACAGGUUGGAUAACUGAUGAGGAAGCAUUAGAAAAAAGUAAGAAGGAAAUUCAGGAGACAGAGGAUCAGCGUGACAUACUGCACGUCGACCUAUCACAACGGGAUAAUUCGACAGAAAACAAGCAAGAGGUAGAAAUAGAGGCUGCCGAAAAGGUUGUUUUUAAACGGCCAGCCAUGAAAUUGACAAAACACCUGAGGCCAUUAUACGUUAAAGCUCUAGUUAACGGCGUCCCAGUGGCAAAGGUGCUUGUCGAUAAUGGAGCGGUUAUAAACACCAUUCCAUCCAGGAUGAUGAGAAAGUUCGCAAAGACAGAGGGUGAUAUGAUUCCCAAUGUGCUCUUAGGAAGAGAUUGGAUACACGGAAGCCGCUGUAUACCCUCGUCGCUCCAUCAAUGCC
rnacentral:lncRNA from 1 species